rnacentral:rRNA from 1 species
GGUGGUUUGUCGCGUUGUUCGUGAAAACUCACAGCUUAACUGUGGGCGUGCGGGCGAUACGGGCAGACUUGAGUACUGCAGGGGAGACUGGAAUUCCUGGUGUAGCGGUGGAAUGCGCAGAUAUCAGGAGGAACACCGGUGGCGAAGGCGGGUCUCUGGGCAGUAACUGACGCUGAGGAGCGAAAGCGUGGGGAGCGAACAGGAUUAGAUACCCUGGUAGUCCACGCCGUAAACGGUGGGUACUAGGUGUGGGUUUCCUUCCUUGGGAUCCGUGCCGUAGCUAACGCAUUAAGUACCCCGCCUGGGGAGUACGGCCGCAAGGCUAAAACUCAAAGAAAUUGACGGGGGCCCGCACAAGCGGCGGAGCAUGUGGAUUAAUUCGAUGCAACGCGAAGAACCUUACCUGGGUUUGACAUGCACAGGACGCCGGCAGAGAUGUCGGUUCCCUUGUGGCCUGUGUGCAGGUGGUGCAUGGCUGUCGUCAGCUCGUGUCGUGAGAUGUUGGGUUAAGUCCCGCAACGAGCGCAACCCUUGUCUCAUGUUGCCAGCACGUUAUGGUGGGGACUCGUGAGAGACUGCCGGGGUCAACUCGGAGGAAGGUGGGGAUGACGUCAAGUCAUCAUGCCCCUUAUGUCCAGGGCUUCACACAUGCUACAAUGGCCGGUACAAAGGGCUGCGAUGCCGUGAGGUGGAGCGAAUCCUUUCAAAGCCGGUCUCAGUUCGGAUCGGGGUCUGCAACUCGACCCCGUGAAGUCGGAGUCGCUAGUAAUC